rnacentral:rRNA from 1 species
UACGGAGGGUGCAAGCGUUAUCCGGAUUUACUGGGUUUAAAGGGUGUGUAGGCGGGCUUUUAAGUCAGUGGUGAAAUCUCCGGGCUCAACCUGGAAACUGCCAUUGAUACUAUUAGUCUUGAAUAUUUGUUGAGGUAGGCGGAAUAAGUCAUGUAGCGGUGAAAUGCAUAGAUAUGACUUAGAACACCAAUUGCGAAGGCAGCUUGCUAAACAAUGAUUGACGCUGAGGCACGAAAGCGUGGGGAUCAAACAGG